CCAACACACCCAAAUUCGCUUUCAAAUUCUACUUGAAGCCUACAACAAUGGCGGAUUUCUUCAAAUCGUCUUUGUUCUAUUCUGAUCAGCAACUCUGCUACGCAGAAAUACUUCCACCUUCAGUGGUACGAGCUAGAAUCGAAGUCGCAGUCCUCAAUUUUCUCAAGAUCUUGAAUUCUUCGAAUCCGGCCAUCACCGACCUCCCUCUGAUAAGUAGGACGUCAAAUAAUAGCCGAGUGAGCCGUGGAUUGAUGACGGAUGUUUCCUCAAUUUUCCUCUCUCACUCUUUCUGCACGAGAUCUCUGAUGCGAGCCAAUGCCGCCAAGGCCUUUGUUAGAGUGUGGAAAGUCAUGGAGUUAUGUUUUCGACUUCUGACUCAAGAGAAGAGAGUCACCCAGAGAGAGCUUUUCUAUAAGUUGCUUUGUAGCUCGCCAGAUUACUUCACUUCUCAAUUGGAAGUCAAUAGAACGAUCCAAGAUGUUGUUGCUUUCCUCCAUUGCAGUCGUUACAGUCUUGGUAUCAUGGCAUCUAGCAGAGGAGCUAUCAUUGGGCGUUUGUUGUUGCAGGAGACAAACCAAGAGACUGUGGACUGCUCUGCUUGUGGCUCUUCUGGGCAUGCUAUUACAGGCGACUUGAAUGUGAUAGAGAAGUUGGUCAUGCAGUCAGACGCUCGGUAUAUUAUUGUGGUAGAAAAGCAUGCUAUAUUCCAAAGGCUAGCUGAGGACCAGAUAUUCAAUCAAAUUCCAAGCAUACUUGUCACGGCCAAGGGAUAUCCGGACAUUGCAACUAGGUUACUUCUAUAUCGAAUGAGCCGUGCUUUUCCAAAUCUUCCAAUCGUAGCACUGGUUGACUGGAACCCAGCAGGACUAGCUAUACUAUGCACCUUCAAGUUUGGGAGCAUUGGAAUGGGUUUGGAGGCAUACAGAUAUGCUUGCAACGUCAAGUGGCUGGGAUUGCGAGGAGAUGAUCUAUCGCUUAUACCUGAACAAUCAUUAGUUCCACUGAAGCCACGUGACCUGCAAAUAGCUAAAAGCCUGAUGUCCUCUGAGGUGCUGCAGGAGAAUUACAGAGAAGAAUUGCUGUCAAUGAUUCAGAGUGGUCAAAGGGCAGAAAUUGAAGCUCUAUACUUCCAUGGGUAUGAUUUUUUGGGAAAGUACAUUGCAAAAAAAAUUGUACAAUCAGAUUACAUCUGACCCUAGGAUGCUGAGACAAUUUCAAACUUGGAACCAAACAAUAUAGUGUUUUUGCUUUUAGUAUCAGUUGAAGUCAUUUAGUUGCCAUCUAUCAGAUUGCAGAGGAAUAACAACUAAGAAAUAUACCUGAGAUGACAUGAAGGUGU